GAUGAACGCUGGCGGCGUGCCUAAUACAUGCAAGUCGAGCGAAUGGAUUAAGAGCUUGCUCUUAUGAAGUUAGCGGCGGACGGGUGAGUAACACGUGGGUAACCUGCCCAUAAGACUGGGGUAACUCCGGGAAACCGGGGCUAAUACCGGAUAACAUUUUGAACCGCAUGGUUCGAAAUUGAAAGGCGGCUUCGGCUGUCACUUAUGGAUGGACCCGCGUCGCAUUAGCUAGUUGGUGAGGUAACGGCUCACCAAGGCAACGAUGCGUUGCCGACCUGAGAGGGGGAUCGGCCACACUGGGACUGAGACACGGCCCAGACUCCUACGGGAGGCAGCAGUAGGGAAUCUUCCGCAAUGGACGAAAGUCUGACGGAGCAACGCCGCGUGAGUGAUGAAGGCUUUCGGGUCGUAAAACUCUGUUGUUAGGGAAGAACAAGUGCUAGUUGAAUAAGCUGGCACCUUGACGGUACCUAACCAGAAAGCCACGGCUAACUACGUGCCAGCCGCCGCCGUAA
rnacentral:rRNA from 1 species